UUCUGCACGUUUUGUAUUACAUUUUUUUUUUUAAUUGCCAUUUGGGGAGUGGGGUUGUAUGUUUUUAAUAUUUGGGAAAUACUUUUGACAAGACCCACUCCCACGCAUCAGCCCAAUCCAGUGUAUUUAUUCGACCCCUUUUCUUUCACAAUCUCCAAUUCAUAUAAUAAUUGUAUCCCUUAUUCCAUCAUGUUUUAAAAACCUAAGUUUCGUUUCAUAAUUUUUUUUUUGUAUUACAUUUUUUAUUCUUAUUCUUAUUCUUAUUAUUAUUUGAGCAGGCGAGGUCUGCGGCCUAGUACAAUUCUAUCACAUUCCAUCCUUAGAUGAUAAUAUUAAUACAAUUUUUAGUAAAAACAAAAAUAAAACAAAAAUAAAAUAAAAAUAUUACAUACAACCGAACUUGUAGUAAAGCCAAACGAAGAACCGGUAAACAAAAGCUGGCGCACAUUUUAUAUUUCAUUUGAAGUGGCAAAUUUAAAAGGAAAAUACGAAACAUUAAAACAACCACUUAAGUUUGUGGUAACUACUGCCAGUUUCAAAGUUCAAGCAAAGACUCCGGCCAACUUUAAAGGCUUUUAUUAAGAAGAAAUAGCAAAAAUAGUGCUGGCGAGUAUGGAUCUCUCGGUGGCACAAGGUUUGCUGAUUUGUCUGCUCGUCCUGGUCCCGCUGCUGUACGAGUGGAGCCCCUCCUUCAAGUUCUUCUGCAAGGUGGCGUUCUUCAACAGCUGGAUCCUCGCCCUGGCCGUGCUCGCAAUACCCAUCUGUGCAGUGAGGGGGCGCAACGUCGAGAACAUGAAGGUGCUCCAGUUCAUGCUGCUUCACAUCAAGUACCUGUACGGGAUAAAGAUCGAUGUCAAGGGCUGGGAGAACUUCCCUCUGAAGGAGCCCUACGUGGUCGUGUCCAACCAUCAGAGCUCCAUCGACCUGCUGGGUAUGAUGGAGGUGCUGCCCUCGCGCUGCGUCCCCAUUGCGAAGCGGGAGCUCAUGUACGCCGGCACGGCUGGCCUGGCAUGUUGGCUCGCCGGCGUGAUCUUCAUAAACCGCAAGAAGACAGACGACGCCAUCAGCGUGAUGUCAGAGACAGCGCAGACCAUGCUCAAGGAAGACGUGCGUGUGUGGGUGUUCCCUGAAGGCACUCGGAAUCACGACGGAUCAAUGCUGCCGUUCAAGAGAGGAGCCUUCCACCUGGCAGUGCAGGCACGGGUUCCCAUAAUUCCAGUGGUGAUGUCACCCUAUAAAGAGUUCUACAAUAUAAAGGAGAACAGGUUCACCACAGGGACCUGCGUGGUGAGGAUCCUCCCCAGGAUUGACACUAAAGGCCUGACCUCGGACGACGUUGCUGAUCUCGCGGAUCGCACCCGGCAAACCAUGCUGUCUACCUUCCUGCAGCUCUCCAGCGCCCCCUGCCCUGGCAGUGGGGAACAUGCAGGGCACACGCCCUGCAGCGCAGAGAGAGAGACCCACGACGUGCAGUGAAGAGACACACAGACACACCCAACGUGCGACCCCAUCCCGCCUUUCCACGGGAGACACCUGCCAGCUUCUACAAUCUGCCUUCACCUGGCUUUUGAACUGCUUUGAGCUUGUCUGGAGAACCCUAAGUGCCAGGUACCGAACAACCUUCCUCAUUUCAUUCAAGUCACGUGACAGUGUGAACUUUUAACUGCUCUACCUAUCUACUCUCUGUAUGCAUGUAGAGAAGGCGGGGCUAGAUUAAGUCACGUUGUCGCAUGAUUGAUUGUGCUUUUUAAAUGGUGCUUGCAUUAAAAAUGUAAACUGCCUUUUCUUUAACUGUGAUUAUCUAGUGUUUAGACACGGACAGAGAGCUAGGGUAGGUGGGAGAACCAGAACAGACAUAAUGCAAAAACUAACCGGACAGCUUCCUCUGUUCUAGUUUCCUUCGCUUGUGAUGGAGUUCAUGCAGUUCAUGGUUGGCCAGUGUGGUGUAACCCUGCUGUCGCUGUUACUCGCUUGUGGGAGCAAGUAUUUAAAUUUUGAUGUUGAGCAACCAAAAACUAACCCUUAGUUGCUGUUUUAAUGGAUUUUAAUUAAUUUUCAUUAGUGUGCGCAUGCUUUUUGCUCAGGACAAAAAAACAACAUGACUUCUGAAGACUGAAUUUAGUGGAAAUCCCUCUAUUGUCAUCAUUGGAACUUUUUUUUUCGGUGUGGAUUUUCAAUGAAUUUCGACGAUUUAUAUAUAUAAAAAAAAACAAAACAACAACAACAUUUUAAAAUAAACUUAGAAGAUAAUUUUCAACUGAAUGGAUUCUCUUUGCACUGGGCAAAGGACCUAACUCCUCCCUCAUCCCGCCCCCACAGGAUUCUGUCGCUGCAACCCUCCAAUAAGAUUUUGAUUGGGUGUUUUGGGACCAGGUAAUUAGAAUAUAGGCGGUUGAAGAGCCAAUGAAUGCAAUUUUUAAAAAGUGUGUAACCUAUAAAAGUAAAAACUUUACCUCCCAGCAUGCCUCUAUCCUAGUGAGGACUGAUUGAAUUGCUACUGAAAUAAUCAGGAGUGCCAGUCUAAAUCUGACCAGGUCUGUAAUCAGAACGAAAACUACAGCUCCUAGCAUGCUUUUGCACUAGCGGUAACAGAGGGAUGAUGGGAGCUGUAGUUCUUUAUUCAGGCAGCUGUAGAAGUGUUACUAAAAUGAUCCAUUCCUUCUUAUCAGCAUCAGUAAUAUUAUGACUCAGCUCUGGUUCUUUGAUUUUAUUUAUAUCCUUCAGUUUGAAAUACGCAGCUUUCUCACCGACAACGCUAUAGAUAAAAAGGUAAUGCUGCUUCCUGGUACCUAAUCACUUCCGGUUGUGCUGGAGGUCAAACUCACUCAGAGGGUCUCGCUGCAAUCGGACCGUGUGACCUACAGCACAGCAACCAGCUUCCCUAAAUCUCCCUUCCAUGUGCUACGCAGUCUCAACGUGCAGUUUUGAAAGACGCAUGCUAGCACAAGCUUUGCUGGUUUCUGGUACUUGCGAGUUUCCUUGGUCGACUGCAGAGUGAAGUCAUCCACGCCUCCUUACAUUAACCAGCCAGCUGCUGCUGCUUCCAUUGCAACCCCAAGGACACUAGGAAGUGAGGACGAAAGCAAGGCAUGCCCACUUUGGUGUAGUACAAGAUACUGUCCAGUGUGUUUCUUAAAAACUGCACCUGAGACCUCGAAACACAGUGUACCAUGCUUUGCUAUGUUUAUGAAUAUGCUUUACCGUACCUCCCUGUGCUUUACCAUACUUUUACUAUGCUUUAUUACACGUUGCUGUGCUUUUACUGUGGGAGACAUUUAUAGGGGUAGUGAGGCUGGGAGGAAGAUGGAAGGCGCCUGCUGGCUCUGCUGCCUCUGUGGUCCUGCUGUUGGUUUUGCAGAAUGCAGUGUGCAUCUCUAUUACAUUGUGCAGUAUAUGUCCUCACAGAUUUCUGCUGUAGAUUGUGCCUGCUGUAUGCAUAUAGACUUUGUGUAUAUGCUUGUCUUGGGACGUCCUGUAUACAAGUGAUAUACUGUAUAUGUUUUAUAAACUUUGUUGAAAAGGA